GACAGAGGGUGCAAGCGUUAAUCGGAAUUACUGGGCGUAAAGGGCUUGUAGGCGGUUAUUUAAGUUGGAUGUAAAAACCCUGGGCUUAACCUGGGACUGUCAUUCAAGACUGGAUAACUAGAGUAAGGUAGAGGUGAGUGGAAUUUCCGGUGUAGCGGUGAAAUGCGUAGAUAUCGGAAGGAACAUCAGUGGCGAAGGCGGCUCACUGGACCUUAACUGACGCUGAGGAGCGAAAGCGUGGGUAGCAAACAGG
rnacentral:rRNA from 1 species